CCUAACACAUGCAAGUCAAACGGUAACAGGAAGCAGCUUGCUGCUUCGCUGACGAGUGGCGGACGGGUGAGUAAUGUCUGGGAAGCUGCCUGAUGGAGGGGGAUAACUACUGGAAACGGUAGCUAAUACCGCAUAAUGUCGCAAGACCAAAGAGGGGGACCUUCGGGCCUCUUGCCAUCGGAUGUGCCCAGAUGGGAUUAGCUUGUUGGUGGGGUAACGGCUCACCAAGGCGACGAUCCCUAGCUGGUCUGAGAGGAUGACCAGCCACACUGGAACUGAGACACGGUCCAGACUCCUACGGGAGGCAGCAGUGGGGAAUAUUGCACAAUGGGCGCAAGCCUGAUGCAGCCAUGCCGCGUGUAUGAAGAAGGCC
rnacentral:rRNA from 1 species